rnacentral:rRNA from 1 species
GAUGAACGCUGGCGGCGUGCUUAAUACAUGCAAGUCGAACGGAAAGGUCCUGCUUUUGUGGGGUUCUCGAUUGGCGAACGGGUGUGUAAAACGCGAGUAACCUCUCCCUGACUUUGGGAUAAAUCUAGGAAACUGGGGCGAUUACCGGAUAGGAUCUCCUGCAGCAUGUUGGGGGUUGGAGAGUGUCGGCUGUUGGGGAUGGACUCGCGGCUUAUCAGCUUGUUGGUGGGGUAGUGGCUUUCCAAGGCUUUGACGGGUAGCCGGCCUGAGAGGGUGGACGGCCACAUUGGUACUGAGAGACGGCCCAGACUCCUACGGGAGGCAGAAGUGGGGAAUAUUGCACAAUGGGCGGAAGCCUGAUGCAGCAACGCCGCGUGCGGGAUGACGGCCUUCGGGUUGUAAACCGCUUUCGCCUGUGACGAAGCGUGAGUGACGGUAAUGGGUAAAGAAGCACCGGCUAACUACGUG